CUUAUCGUUGGAUAAGGACUGUAUUGCUGAAUAACGGACUUCAGAGUUUAAACAUGAGCUGAUAACUCUGACUUGGUCUAACAAAGAAAACCUAUUCAAUCUGAGCCGCCGCAGUUCUAACUCUCAUAACUCCCAACCGCCGCUUCUUACUUCGACGAAAUUAAGAAACAGAAUCUCUCCCAGAACUCCAAGUUCCGAUUUCAAUGGAAGAGGACGACGGCACGAAGCAUCUGAGCAUAUACAGGGCGGCGAGGACAAUAAAACAACGGCAGAACACCCUCUACAACGCCCUCAAAUCAAUCUACGACGACUCAAUCUUUGUCGGAGAAAUCUCCCAGCUCUGGCCGGACCUCCCUCUCCUCGCCAACCUCCGCUGCGGCCUCUGGUAUUCUCCAACUUCCAACUUCCACUCCACCUGCUACUUCAAAUCCACCGACGGCCACACAAACAACUGGUCCUUCAACACCUCCCGCCUCAACCUCCACGUCGCCCAACUUGCCGGACAGAAAGGAGGGUGCUUUAUUGUGGAUGCGACUCGGAAGGGGAAGCGCUUUCCGGAUAGCAUGUCGAAGACGAUUCCGAUUUGGACAUGUGUUUUGAAUCGGGCGAUUUAUAGGCAUUUGAAAAAAGAUCGUCAGAGUGAUUUGUUCAAUGAUGAGGAGCUAAGUACUUCUGGUGAACAUUCUGAAGAGAAUGGACAGACCAAUUUUGAUUGGGACUGUUCCUUGCAUCUACCUCUUUGGGUUUCAGAAACAGAGAAGGCAUCUAUUGAGGAUCGAUUAGACGAAUGGACUCAACAGUUGGAAGCCAGCGGUGCUGACAUUGCCCCUCUUGCUUCUUUAUUGAAAAAGCCGCUGCGCCCUCUGUGGAUAUCACAAAAGACUGUGAUUUGGUUGAAUGAAGUUCCGGACCAUGAAUCCUGGGAUUUCACACCCAUCAUUCUUGUUUCUGCCUCUGCCUCUAAUGGUGUUGUACCACACAGGACUAGUUCGGAAUUUAGCUGGAAUUACAUAGCAGGAGCCGGUGAUGAUGAAGAAAGCUGGGCAAGGGGUUUAACACCUACCCUCUUCUGGAACCAUGCCUAUGAUAUUAUCGAUGUGGGGCCUGUUUUGUGUAACCAGAUGGUAGCUGAUAUAGUUGAGAAGGAUCGUGUUUAUCGUGCUCGAAGGGGACAAAUUGCUCCUCAGGUUUCUGUCAAGGCCCCAAAUUUGGUAGAAAACUCAGUUCAUUGUUUGCAUGGCGACUCGUUGUUGCCUUUGGAUAUUUCAAACACAAAUAUGGAUUUAAAUCCUUGUGAUGAAGAUUGUCCUAUGUCGUGGCUGGGUUCAACUGGCCUUGCUGUAGGCAUAUCUCCAAACGCUGCAGUAUCUAAAGUUGAUUGCAUAUUAAAUUGUGAUCAAGAGUCAAUCCCUGUUUCUCAUCGGAAUGCUAAAGCAUAUAUGCAUCUUCCUAUGGUGACAUCAAAGUUUGAUCGGUUUUCCUUGUUGAAUAAUCUCCCUUCUGCUGUGAACUUCGCAAAGUUGAAUCUAAGUGAAGGGAAGACCCUCCUAAUUUGUUGCCACAACGGUAAAGACUUCACAGGCUCUUUGCUUAGUCCUAUUCCAUUAAAUAAAACCAUUCCACCGUGCAUAACAUUGCAUUUUAUUCGAGCGUUUUUUCAUAUUUGGAAUCUAAAGAACUUUAGUGGGGUGUAGUCAAAUUUUGUUUUCUAAGUUAUCAUGCUUAGUACAUUAUGCUGGGUUCAGAGUCGAUAUGUCUGCUUUAACCACGUUGAUCUGUUACUUGCCCUUUCUGAACUUAGUUGAUAACUGUUGGAAAAAUUAGGGUCUAAUUGCUAUCACAUGAAAAAUCAAGAAAUAAUUUAUGCAAUUAGACCCUAAUUUUUCCAACAAUCUUAAGACAAGUUUAAGUUAAUGGUUUGAUUGCUAUGUUUGAGAACAAUAUUCUAUCGUGUAUGUUUCUGCGUGGAUUUUCUUUUUCAUGGUAGAAUGUUUUGGUUUCUAGUUUUGCAUAAAGCAGUUCAUAUGUUAACUGUUUCCAAAUGUAUUGCAAGUUUAUUUGAUUCAAAAGAUGCCAACUUUUAACCUUUCAUCAUUAUUUUGUUCGUUUGUCUUAUGCCUUGUGUAGAUGGGAUGGUUAUAGUUAAUUGAACCAAAUAACCGUUACAUGUUUAUUGCAUAUAUGUUGAGAUAUGCAUAUGGCGCGUGUGUGGUAUAUUUUGUGUGAAGUUAUUCUUACAAUUUCGUAUAACCAUUUUCUUCGACUAUUAUUCACGAAAUUGGUUUGGUUUGUUUUCAUAUAUGAUUUAUAUGUGUAUGUUUUAAACUGUUAGGACAUGUUUUAAACCCUGGAUAUGCAUGAUAGGGUUGCAAGCAUGUGAAUGGUAUUUGAUUCCAUUAACCUAUUUGAUCUGAUACUUAUUUCUUUGAAAUUGAGUUGCAUGUGUGUUUGUUGAAUUGACUAUUUCAAUUAUAUUAGCUUCUCUAACUGAAGGGCAUCUAGUGUGAAGAGAAAUGUCGGUCGAUUUGAACAGACAUGUAUUAUAUAUAUCUGGGUUGCUGAAUCAAUACGAUUCAGAUAGGGUUGUAUCUGUUCAAAUUGAAUAAGACAUCUCUUCCAAAGGAAAGCACUUCAGGUUCUGUAAUAUAUACGGUUGAUUCAAUGACUUACAUGGCUAACAAUAAGUGAUAUGCAUGAUGUUUGGAAGCUCUUGCGAAAUUAAGAAAUGUUGGUAUAUUUCUCAGGAGCGAUGCAUCGCUUGCAUUCUAAAUGCAGACUCCUUGUGAAUGCAUAGUGUCGCAUUAUUCUGGUUUUGACUCGUUUGAUGUGUCCGACAUACUACAGUUAUAUUAAAUACUGUGUUUUGACACAAGGCAUGUUGCAUAAAACUUCCUGAUUAACAGGCAUAACUAAAACUUGCAGUGAUAUCAUGAGUAUGGUCAUAUUCUUGAUAGAAUUUGACAAAAAGGCAUGAUCGCUUCGAUCGUGGAGUCAUUAAUUUGGUCCAUCUCAAACUGUAACCUUCGGUUGCAGUGAUGGUGCCAUUUGAAUGGCAUCAGUUGGCUUUGUUGUACUUGAAAAGUCACCAUAUAGAAGUUACGUAUAAUUUUCUAAACAGUAAAAAUGGAGGUUUUCAAUAUCAUCUUUAUGCCAAAGACGUAAAUGGUGGUGCAUCACACUCGUACAUGUUCGUGAAAUGUGGUAUAGUUUCAGACUGGUGCCAUUUUGGAAUUAGCUUCCGUAGUGGACACAUCUUUAAUUGUAGUCUUAACUAUUAUUAUAAUAAUGUUGUGGUUAAUUUUAUGAGUGUGGUUCUUGUUUAAUUUCAAGAAACAAAAGGUCUGGAUACCUAGUUGAAUGUAAAAGGAGUGCUUCUUAUACAAGGGACUUGUGAGGCUUGAAAGCCUAGAAGUGAACAAUAGACAAAAGAGAAAAUAUCUUCGUUGUUUCCUACUUCAUAAGUAUGAUAAGUGAGUAAUUGAUAGCUUUAAAAAGCAACCACAAUGUACGGGAAUUGUGGGGGUGGCUUAGCUAUUUUUGAAAAAUGAUUUACUUAAGUAUAAUGGAAAAGUAAUUUGCUUCAAGAAAAAUGAUAUUCUUUAAUUUAAGGUAUUGAAAGGUUAGAAACCUUUCGAAAAAAAAUACCUUAAAUGUGGGGGAGUUUACUGAAGUAUUAGCAAAUUACUUACCAAGUCCGAAUGCAUGUUUGGAGGACUAAACGUUAGAAAACAACUAUUCUCGAAUGAAAUAUAAUUUUAUAAAUAGAAAUGCGCACCAUAAGAGAUAGUCAUCAACCUAGUGGAUCCAAUUAAUUAAAGGUUUGACCAGAGAGUAAGUCAUAUCAUUGAGGGGAAUGGGUUAAAAGCCUACGUCUUAAGAAUCGCCAUAAUGGCAACCCAACCUAGGUGACUGGAGAUCCCAAGAUCUAGGUUCAAAGGGACAACCUGUGGAUGAUUCAAUGGGAGCACUGCGGAGAUAAUCUCCUACCCUUGUCCUAUGAUGACACAGUGCUAUCUGCAGUGUAUUUAGGAUAAGCUUUGCUUUUAAUGAUUCCUAUACUUGGAAAUAACAAGUGGGGUAUUGCAGGAUACUCUUAAUGGGAAGUCACCUAUCUUGAGUGAGGAAUGGGGCUGUUCCUGUGAGAAUUUUUUGAAAGGCUUAGUUCUCUAAAAGCACGCAUGAGAAACCAAGAAUUGUUCAGGGCCAAAAUGAACACAACCGAGCAACCACAAGGUGUCUGGAAGGGUAUUGUGUGAUUAUUAUUGUCUUGGUUUACACAAACGGCUGAGCAGUUCAAGACAUCGCGUUCACUGAUUAGCCAAGUAAAUCCGAUAGUAAUUCAUUACGGCAGGUUCAAAGCCAAAAGCCACCUAUCCUGAUGCGGUACUUUUCCUAUUGAAUUCUCGCUCUAGUGUCUGCAUUGUCAUUUGUAUGGUAUUGAGUCAAUUUCCAUUCAUGUGGGGGAUUGUUGAAAAAUUUAAAAAUAAUAUUAUUAUAUUAAAUUUAUUAAUUGAAUGGAAAUUAGAAGUGGAGCCUUUUGGUAGAAAGAUGUGUCUACUUAAAUGAAGUGUUGCAACUUUUGACUCUUCAUGAAUAGUCACAUGCUUUCCAAAGAGGUAUCUCACAUUCUAUAAAUAGGGAAGCCUCCUAUAAUCACAAAAUAACUUUUCAUCAUACAUACAUAUAGUGCAUUAAAUAUUAGAGAGUCUCAUUUAGUCCAUAUGAGAGAGUUUUCAACACAAUCGUGGUUCAUGGAGCCUUGUGAUUUGGAGUGCUACUAUUACAAGGACGUGGUCGUUGUAUCUUGGGAGACAUGCGCCGAUCAACCAUGAGCACUGUAAUGGGGCGUAAACUUGUUUUAAGGACUAAGUGUCUAACACUUUCCUCGACCGUAUUUUCAGGGGAAGAUAUCAGCGUAUGUGUAUGUCUGGCAAUCUUGACUUCAUUAUUUGAUGAUCGAGGAACCUUUGAUGGUGGAAGCUUCUUCAGUGAGACA